AAAACAUGGCAAUUUCUCUAUGAAAAGUGGCUGCCACUUGGCUCGUCAUUUGAGCACACAAGAGCAGGUGGGCACAUCACAUUGUGUGGUGAUGCUAUUGAAACCACUGAACAUCUCCUCUUGCAUUGCCCAGUAGUGCGUCAGGUGUGGCACGCAAGCCCUCUACGCGUCGUAAUUUUAUGUCAACAAAAGGAGCUGCUGGUACAAGUUCUAGAACCCACUUUGUUAGGCAAGAUAAGUGGACUGCACCAACGGGAAACUGCUUCAAACUUAACACUGAUGCUGCUGUGCCUGGAAAUGCAACUAUUGAGAUGAUGAUGGCUGCAACAAAGGGAGAUCGGAAGGAUCAGUCGGAUGAACUAGUUCAAAUAGAGUUUGAACAGGUAAGAAUAAGUUUUGAAAGACAUGGACAAGAUAAAAGCCGCUAGAACAGCAAGAAGGAUUAUUGCCAGAAAUCAUGUUGAUAUAGUAUGUUUUCGUAGCAUAUGAAGGCAUACAGCUCAGCACUGAUUAAUAGAAUUUCAAGAAUCACAUUGAUAUAUCUUUUAUCAUCAUGUAAAUAGGCUUACUACACCUACCCAUAGAAGUUGC
rnacentral:misc_RNA from 1 species